rnacentral:tRNA from 1 species
GGGCGAUUAGUUCAGUGGUAGAACGCGUCACUGAUAAUGACGAGGUCGGAGGUUCGAUCCCUCCAUCGCCCACCA